UGGAUAUUCCACUGACCCGCCCAAUCAAAUGGGAGGCACGAGGAGAGCACGACAGAGUUGGUUGAUAAUGUUGUUUGGUCACGAUAGACACCGACCACCCCCUUUCCCUUCUUUAAAUGGUACUUCCAAGAUUAAUUGUCACCACUUGCUCUUUGUCGAACAAGGGGUUAAAAUCUUUGACUUGAGACAAACCUCCGAACACAAAAAACAAAGGGGGUACAUUUUGUACUUUCGGGGCAAAAAAGUGCAAAAGCCAUAAAUAACUCUCAAAUGUGGAGACAACCCCUCAUUGCGGUUGCAGUAGAGAGGAGCGAGUGAAAGACAGUAUUUACGUACUUAGGUCGUAGAUCGACCUUCGACUGAGGCACAUAAGUGAAGGAGCCUUCCCAAUCCCACUGAGAAUGAGAUCGGCUUUUCCUCAUUCAACGCAGAUUCUAUUGAAGAGUUUGAUGAUGGUUUCGGGCCAAGAAGACUAUGGAGUGUUGUGUCAAUAAUGAAUGGGAGCGAAAUGAGCAUGGAGAGGCGGGGUCAACAACCCGAUGAGCAAAAACGAAAUGAGUGAAGAAUCAACAACUGCCACUGACAACUUGGCGAUAUUUUUGCGGUGGGCAUAACAAACAAAGCCAGCUCAGCAUCGUUGUUUCCCGAUGUGGAAGAGAGCGCCAAAUUAUAGAGCCAUUCGUCACCUACUAUUCACGAUGGUCCGUCCAUUUCUGACUUUUUUUGACCAUGAUUGGAAUGAGAUCUAGAAAAGUGAAGUCUAAUCUCAGUGAUUAUGCCGCUGUCAAAUUCAUGGCUUUGACAAGUGCCCAACUUUUCGAGGGAGGAAUCGAGUAGUUGCCAACCACGGCUACCGUGAACGGUCCCAUGCUGAUUAUCAUCUUCAUGUUGUUGUUGUUGUUGUUGUUGUUGUUGUUGCUCCUGCUGCUGCUGCUGAUGAUGAUGAUGAUGAAAUCGAGGGCAGACAAUCUGGUCAUUUCGCGACGCUGGACGGCAAAUUCCGAAGGAUAUCCAUUGAAACAGAAGCCAGAACAAAACCGACCCAAGAGCUGGUUUACAACCUCGGACAACUUGAAGCCACUCAACUAGUCAUAAACCCAGAGAUGGGCAUAACGACGCCCUCUAAGCUAGAGCCAUCUUUACUGGUGAAAGAUCCCCCUCGAAGUCAAACGAACUUGUAAACACCCUUUGGCCGUGAUGGCCGGAGAGGCCGGGAUCUGUCCAAAUAUUGUUGUAAAUGAACCCUCAUUGUCUCACUCACCCUCCCGAAUCCACGGCUAUGGGCUAUUGGCUAGCCAGCAUAUCACGCAAAUUUCUGCUUACCCCAAAACACAUUUUCAACAGGGGCUACUUGCCAUCUUUGUCGUCGGCAAGGGGCUUUGAAGCCAUCUCCGAUGUUUACCACUAAUCCGGCAUCUCGCAUUCUCCAACGCUUCCAUGACAUGAACGCCAAAGAUGAGAUGCUGCCGACGACGACGACAACGGACAUGGCACUAGUAGGGACCAGGGACUUGGGAGGAUUGUCUUCAGGCAAGCACAUAUGCAUGAUAGAGGUCGUUGUUGAGGCGUACCCAAUACCCACGAGGCACAGAUCCAUCUAUCUAUCACUAAACAUGUCUGAACAGGCAUGCUCAGUUUUGGCGGGGCUUUUAUGCUCCCCGCAGCCCCACCGACGAGUUCAAAUCAACGACACAUGGGCAUGUAAGGAUUUUCUUGGGGACACAAAGCAUUGGAGAUCUUGUUGAGACUUGUAGCAUCUCAUCAAUUUGGGGCAUUCCAACAACGAUCGUGGGGUUCGGCGAGGGGCACGCACUAGUAUAUACGAGUACGUAGUAUACAUAGACCGUAUGUACGUGGUGAGGGUCGAACGAACAGAGAGACGAAGAAUGGCAUGGGGAGGCCGAAGGUACCCACUACCCAUCCAUCCCCCCCUGUAACUGAAUUCUUGACUUAAUUUGGUCCAUGGACUAUAAAAAUGGUUGUUCGGCAUCUAUAAAUCAAUUGAGGGGAUCAACGACAUCGAUCUUUGAUUAACGUUCAUUGAAAGGCGAGAUAAAAACACUUUUGGAAUUUACAGUGUAUAUGUGUCUAACAACUUCGAGGCACUGGUUCACCGCCGCCAUUCGGUCAAAACUAUGGAAAUCUCACACUAAUCUUGUCAUCACAAAAGCGAGCGUCAAAUUACCGAUUGGCUAUACUCACCCCAAAGUCUCUGUCUCCCUCUCCUUUUUUUUUUAACGUGAACUACUUCAUUCCAU